ACUGACUGUAUACAGGCAAUUGGAAAAUUCAUUAUUAUUACAUUAUACAGGUGUAUCGUAUCAUCUGUUUAUUAUAAGAAGCAAUAUUAUUUUGUAGCUGUCGCUUUAGUGUCAGGGUUCUGUCACUUCGGUCUGUUUAUUCUUGGUUUGGUGACAGAGCUCUGACACUGCUUGUGUCUUGUCUUGUUGUGAGCGCGACAAUGUGCCCUUCUGUUUAGGUGUUAUCUGUUUAUUGGUUAGUUUUUCCGACUGGAUUGUCUUUGUUGGUCAUGGUAUGUCUUUGUAUGUUGCCAAAUCGUUGACUUGUGCUUCCCUUCAUGUUUUCCCUGCAUUGCGUCAUGUCGCAUGAAGUCGUAUCAAGUCAAUUCAAGUCUUUUCCCCCUCUGUGUAGUUUUUGUUGUUCGGUUUAUUUUAUUAAUUUAAAUGUCACAGUAUGGUGACAUUUAAAUGCUUAAGGUCUUUAAAGAAGGAUGAUUUCUGAUUGGCUAUCAAUGUUUUUAUUAUUCAUCAACAGGAAAAAAUGUCCUGUAUUAUUCUCGUUAUAGUGGUGGUGUGGACUACUUUAGUCUAAUAGUAUAUUAUAGCAGUUAUUAAAACCUUAUAGUUAUUAUCCCUGGUGUGAACAGGCCUUUCGGCAUUACAGCUUGUUGGAGGGCACCCACCUCAAAGAGCUCCUCUGGAUCCUUGUUUCCAUCCAGCUCAAAUAAAUAUGGGGGAUUAUGGUCUGCCAUGUAAUCCUACACAUCAAGCAUAAGUAUAACUGCUAUUUGUCUCAAUAAUAGUGUGUAUUCAGGUGUGUGUAAUAGGUGCCAUUACCUCAAGAGGCCUGAGAAUGGUGUCUUUAUAGCGCAUGAUCCUGCUCUUGGCAUUCUCUGGGGUCCCACUUCUCCUUCUGGAACACCCGGCCUGUCUCCGGAUGUUGACGCUCUCCUGAUAGCCUGUGGAUCAGGUAAUCCUCUGAAAUUGAUGGCAAACAGGCCAGGACAUAACCUGCUCAACCACCAUUCAAACAAGUCAUUACAAAUAUAUAUUAACAGAUUUUAAAACAAUUAUUUAUUAAAUUAUGUUAUUUUAGUUGUUUCUUAUCCUCACC